UAAGGAAUAUUGGUCAAUGGAGGGAACUCUGAACCAGCCAUGCCGCGUGCGGGAAGACGGCCCUAUGGGUUGUAAACCGCUUUUAUAUGGGAAGAAUGACCGGGAUUUAUCCUGGGAGAGACGGUACCAUACGAAUAAGCACCGGCUAACUCCGUGCCAGCAGCCGCGGUAAUACGGAGGGUGCAAGCGUUAUCCGGAAUCACUGGGUUUAAAGGGUACGUAGGCGGUUUAAUAAGUCAGAUGUGAAAUGUCGGAGCUUAACUUCGGAUCUGCAUUUGAAACUGUUAAACUUGAAUUGGGUGGAAGUGCAUGGAAUGCAUCAUGUAGCGGUGAAAUGCAUAGAUAUGAUGUAGAACACCAAUAGCGAAGGCAGUGCACUACGCCUUGAUUGACGCUGAGGUACGAAAGCGUGGGUAGCGAACAGG
rnacentral:rRNA from 1 species